rnacentral:lncRNA from 1 species
GUUAAAGACAAUGUGCCCAGCAGAGAUGUGCACAGUUGACCAGAGUCCCCCAUCUCUACCCUGAGCUGGGGUUGAGGCCUUGGGGUAGUUUUGCUCCUCCUCCCCCUCCCCCUUUAGAAUGACAGCAGGCCUGGCUCGGGGACAGACUCACAGGCUGGUGGCAGCUGUGCCGUUUUACAAGCCCAGAGACAGUGGGGGGACUGUUCAGGCCCUGGCAGACUCCUGGGCCCCUGAGAACAGUGGAACCCUCUCCCUCAGCCUCAAGCCCAAAUCUCCCCCAAUCCUGCUUACCCCCCAGCAACCACCGUCUCCCUCUAUGGCUCAGUGUUCACUGGUGCCCAGCCAGAUGUGUGCCCAUAAAAUGCCCCUUCUAGGUAACCCCAUCUCAGAUGUAAGAGCAGAUUGGAGUGGCUUUAAGCAGGAGAGGAGCCCUGCUGCCCCCUUCCCAAGGGAUUCAUUCAUUCGUUCUUCAAAGAAGCAUUAGAGCCCAGUGGAGAAUUCAGACGCUGGAAUCAAAUUGCUAGGCUGGAAUCCUGGCUCUGGGACCUGGGCAGCCGACAUCAUCAUCUCUCUGGGCCUCAGUUUCCACAUCUGUGACAUGAGAAUAAUAACAGUGCCCACCUCAGAGGGCUGCAAGUCUCAAUGAGUUAAUGAUGCCAAGUACUGAGAGCAGGGCCUGGCACAUAACAGGGGCUCAUUAAUUGGAAGCCAUUAUUAUCAUUGAGCCAAGGGACUGUGGAAGGGGGGUGGGGUGGAAGCUAUCAGGGAAGGCUCCCAGGAGGAAGGGACAUCUAGGCCAGAAGCUAAAGGAUAAGGGGGAAGUUAGCAAGGCAGCGGGGGGUUGGGAGGGGUGGAAAGGUGUCAUAGGCAGAAGGAACAGCAGCUGUAAAAGCUCAGAGGUGAGGAAGAGGUGAACUGCUCUGUUGCUCGGAAUGCCUCCUUCAUUCAUCCCCCACCAGUCUUGGGGGUCACAGGCUGUGGCUGAGGUCAUGGACUCCAUGUCCUCUGGAGGGUCCCACUGGGCAUUAGUGGAAGACUGCAGACUGGAGCCGCUGAUCAGGGAGCUCACCCCCAUCUGCCCCCCCCAGGGUCUCUAAUGAUUGCUUCUGUUUUACUAGAUUUUUAUGUAUUCAAGGGAAGCUUCAUGCACUUCCCAGUCAUGUCACAACAACUAACACCCCGCAGGAGCUUGGGAACAAGAAGAAAGCACAGCCCGUGACACCCAGCGAAGUUGAACAAUUUGGUCGAUUUGGUCAGAGCCACGCAGCACACACAGGUAUUACUCUUCCACCCUCCUGCUGUUCUUGGCAGGCCUGGCUGGGCUGAGAAAGGGAGGGCCCUUCCCCACUGAGUGAGACAGAGGCUAUUGUGUGUUAUGAAACCCAAAACUCUGGGGCCCCCUCCGGCUGGAGGUGGGGUCGGUGGAGGGGAGGGGCUGCAGGGGAUGGCCCACUGCCCCCCAGCCCCAGGGACCCAGCACAUGCUCCCAGCCCCAGCCACAUCUGGAUUCCAGCUGGCAGCUCCUGAGGCCCAGGGUGCGGGGGAGAAGUCGCUGCAGGAACUUGCCAUCAAAGAGCAAGAGGAGUUUUGUGGGUGGGGAGACAGAAGGCAGAGGCCGACUGCAGGGCCAGGGCUGCCUUCUACUCCCGAUCCCGGCCAAGGGUGCAGUGAGGGGGGCAUUGUCCAUGAGACCCGUCCCAGUCCUCAACCACCUGCAGGGGAAACAGAGAGGUGAGUGACUCUCCCACGGCCACACUCGGUGGCAGAGCUGGGCAUGGAACCUGGGUCUGCGUGGCCACAAGUCCAGAGCUGGUGCUCCACGCCUGGGGACAUGAGUUCCAGCCCAUUCCUCGGGAGCACCAGUCUUUCAUUUGUUUCCCACAUCAAUCUGUCCCUUCACCCUCCAGGACUGGGCUGAUGUGUCUCCCCAGAAAGUUGUCCCCAUCCCCAUGCAAGAGCCCCUCCCCAGCAGGCUCAUUCCCCCCACCCCCCAGAAAACUGGUGAGACUUCAGGCCGGAAUAAAGGUUUAUUAUGCUGGUGCAUUAUAUCUC